GUCGAACGGGAGGAAAAGAGAAGCUUGCUUCUUUUUGAAUCUAGUGGCAAACGGGUGAGUAACACGUAAACAACCUGCCUUCAGGAUGGGGACAACAGACGGAAACGACUGCUAAUACCGAAUGUGUUCCGGAAACCGCAUGAUUUCCGGAAGAAAGGAUGGCCUCUAUUUAUAAGCUAUCGCCUGAAGAGGGGUUUGCGUCUGAUUAGGCAGUUGGUGAGGUAACGGCCCACCAAACCUACGAUCAGUAGCCGGUCUGAGAGGAUGAACGGCCACACUGGAACUGAGACACGGUCCAGACUCCUACGGGAGGCAGCAGUGGGGAAUCUUCCGCAAUGGACGAAAGUCUGACGGAGCAACGCCGCGUGAGUGAUGACGGCCUUCGGGUUGUAAAGCUCUGUGAUCGGGGACGAAUGGCUGGUAUGCUAAUACCAUAUCAGAGUGACGGUACCCGAAUAGCAAGCCACGGCUAACUACGUGCCAGCAGCCGCGGUAAUACGUAAGUGGCAAGCGUUGUCCGGAAUUAUUGGGCGUAAAGCGCGCGCAGGCGGCUUCUUAAGUCCAUCUUAAAAGUGCGGGGCUUAACCCCGUGAUGGGAUGGAAACUGGGAGGCUGGAGUAUCGGAGAGGAAAGUGGAAUUCCUAGUGUAGCGGUGAAAUGCGUAGAGAUUAGGAAGAACACCGGUGGCGAA
rnacentral:rRNA from 1 species